CAAGACUUUAAUUGAAGAGUCUGAUCAUGGCUCAGAUUGAACGCUGGCGGCAGGCCUAACACAUGCAAGUCAAGCGGGAACAGAUUG
rnacentral:rRNA from 1 species